rnacentral:rRNA from 1 species
UACAGAGGUCCCAAGCGUUGUUCGGAUUCACUGGGCGUAGAGGGUGCGUAGGUGGCAGGGUAAGUUUGAUGUGAAAUCUCCGGGCUUAACCCGGAAACUGCAUUGAAUACUAUCCUGCUCGAGGUUUGGAGGGGGGACUGGAAUUCUCGGUGUAGCAGUGAAAUGCGUAGAUAUCGAGAAGAACACCAGUGGCGAAGGCGAGUCCCUGGACAACACCUGACACUGAGGCACGAAAGCUAGGGGAGCAAACAGG